rnacentral:rRNA from 1 species
GGCGUUUUGAUAAUAAUUUAAGGUCGGGCCUGCCCAAUGAAAUUUUAAAUGGCCGCGGUAUUUUAACCGUGCAAAGGUAGCAUAAUCAUUAGUUUUUUAAUUGAAAGCUGGGAUGAAGGGUUUAAUGAAAAAAUUACUGUCUCUAUCUAAAUUUAUUAGAAAUUUAUUUUUAAGUAAAAAAGCUUAAAUAACUAUUAAAGACGAGAAGACCCCAUAGAGUUUUAUAUCUAAAGAAUUUAUUGUAUUUAGGAUUUUUAAAUUAUUUUUGUAAGGUAUUUAGUUGGGGCGAUUAAAAAAUUUGAGUAACUUUUUUUAAAACGACCAUUGAUUUAUGAUUAAUUGAUCCUUUUUUUAGAUUAAAAGAUAAAAUUACCUUGGGGAUAACAGCGUAAUUUUUUUUUAAAGUUCCUAUUGAAAUAAAAGAUUGCGACCUCGAUGUUGGAUUAAAAUUUCAUUGCUGGUGCAGCAGCUAGCAAAUUAGGUCUGUUCGACCUUUAAAAUUUUACAUGAUCUGAGUUUAGACCGGUUUGAG